UACAAUGCUGGCAACAGCGAUAAGGGAACCUCGAGUGCCAGGUUACAAAUCUGACUGUCGAGAUGCCUAAAAAGCAUUUCAUAGCAAGGGCCGGGCAAGACCGGUGCCAGCCGCCGCGGUAACACCGGCGGCUCGAGUGGUAACCGUUAUUAUUGGGUCUAAAGGGUCUGUAGCCGGCCGGAUAAGUCUCUUGAGAAAUCUGGCAGCUUAACUGUCAGGCUUUCAGGAGAUACUGUCUGGCUCGAGGCCGGGAGAGGUGAGAGGUACUUCAGGGGUAGGGGUGAAAUCUUGUAAUCCUUGAAGGACCACCAGUGGCGAAGGCGUCUCACCAGAACGGACCUGACGGCAAGGGACGAAAGCUAGGGGCACGAACCGGAUUAGAUACCCGGGUAGUCCUAGCCGUAAACGAUACUCGCUAGGUGUCGGCCACGGUGCGACCGUUGUCGGUGCCGUAGGGAAGCCGUGAAGCGAGC
rnacentral:rRNA from 1 species